ensembl:snRNA U6 U6 spliceosomal RNA
GUGCUUGCUUCAGGGGCACAUAUACUAAAAUUGGAAUGAUACAGAGAAGAUUAGCAUGGUCCCUGCACAAGGAUGACAUGCAAAUUCGUGAAGCAUUCCAUAUUUUU